rnacentral:rRNA from 1 species
UACGAAGGGGGCUAGCGUUGCUCGGAAUCACUGGGCGUAAAGCGCACGUAGGCGGGUUCUUAAGUCAGGGGUGAAAUCCUGGAGCUCAACUCCAGAACUGCCUUUGAUACUGGGAAUCUCGAGUCCGGGAGAGGUGAGUGGAACUGCGAGUGUAGAGGUGAAAUUCGUAGAUAUUCGCAAGAACACCAGUGGCGAAGGCGGCUCACUGGCCCGGUACUGACGCUGAGGAGCGAAAGCCAGGGGAGCAAAGCGGG